rnacentral:rRNA from 1 species
UACGAAGGGGGCUAGCGUUGCUCGGAAUCACUGGGCGUAAAGCGCACGUAGGCGGAUCUUUAAGUCAGGGGUGAAAUCCCAAGGCUCAACCUUGGAACUGCCUUUGAUACUGGGGAUCUCGAGUCCGGAAGAGGUUGGUGGAACUGCGAGUGUAGAGGUGAAAUUCGUAGAUAUUCGCAAGAACACCAGUGGCGAAGGCGGCCAACUGGUCCGGUACUGACGCUGAGGAGCGAAAGCGUGGGGAGCAAACAGG